GCAGGCCGGGUCAACUCUCGAACAAAGUUUGGUUAUACCUACGGGGGCUAGACCUGUGGUGUCAUCAUCCAUACGGUUCUACCGUCUGGUAGUUGUAGCAAUAUUAUUAUCGUUAGUAGCUCACGCCUGACAUAAUAUUUUGAUAAAUCUAAUACAUUUUUAGAUUUAAAUAUGACUUUAAUAACUGAAUAAAUACUUUUCUUCUACAAAAAUAUAGAGAGACACUCUCGUUGAAUAUUGUUUUAGUAACGUAUGGGUAAGAUUUUCUAAACGAAGUGUGGCAACCCCAAUUACUUAAUAAAAAAUAAAUAUGUUAUAAAAUGAAAAUGGCGUCAUUUCACCAAAUAAAACACGAAUUCACGAAUAAUAAAAUAAAUGUUUGCCACGGCCUGUUAAUAUUUAUGAAGACCUCUUCAUGGAUUGGAUUUAAGCUUUUUGCUGUGUAAUAUCCUCGCCAUUCUUGAUGUUGAGAAGAUCUAUAAGUCUUUUGCGUUUCAUCUGAGUGUUGUGGUUUUUCAUUAUGUUAAAAAUAAGACUUUGUUAGUUCAAGUGUCUCUAUAACUAUGAAGAAGAACAAAAGAAAAUGCUUUGAGUGUGGUUCUUCGCCUGCCGAUGAUCCAGAGAAGACCCUACAGAGAUUACAGAAAUUUGAUUCUACAAAUUUAGUCUCCGGUAGCUUAAUCUGGAGCAACAUAAGGUUAAUUAUGAAAUGGUAAUGAAAAUAAACAUCUGAGAAAAGCAAAUUCCAUGAACUAAUUUGAAAGUAUCUGUUACCAGUUCAAUAUUAAACCACAGGUAUAUGUACUAAAGGCAGGUAGAGUAAAAUUUGAGUUUUAUUUUUGAAUCUAUAAUAAGUAGUUUAUAAUUAUGUAAUGAUGAACCAGAACAAUUUGUUAAUUUGAAACUACAAUUACAAGUUUUUAUAAUUAUGUUAGGCACUAGGCAGACUAAUGAAGAGUAUGUUAGUUUACUUUGUACAAAAAUCUGUUCUCGAUGGUUCACAGUAGUAAUUAGUUUGAUUCUAAGUCAGAGGCAAUCAAAUACAAUGUUUUAUCACGACUCAUAGCAACAUACCUUUGGCGCUAGAUCAAUAUCUAGGAUGAUUUCACUAAAAAUGGAAAAAUAAAAAUUUUUAAUUAAAGAAAUUCAACCAACUUCAAAAACAUAAAACAUACUGGCUAAACUAAAAAGCGAAAAAUAAUAUUAUACUAAGUUCACUCACACCUUCAAACUGAUCAUCAGUUAGAACAUAAUAUGAUAUAUAGAACUUAGUAUAAUGUUAUUUUUCGUUUUUUAGUUUAGUAAGUAUGUUUUUGAAGUCGGUUGACUUGUUUUUAUUAAAGUUUUUUAAUACACAUGUUCCUUAGACAUUUUAAGUUAAUUUUCCUUAUAGAACUUGGAGCUACCCUAGAGUUAUGGGAAAUACUCCCGAGCACCCUGUAGAUGCUACUUAAUCCUACUAAUCCUUCAUUCAUCAGUAUUGGUUGGUGGGCUUGGAGUUUAUAAAGAAUAUUAAGUAUAUAUAAUUUAUUUAUGAACAUUCCUCAUUCAGUUGAGCUUUUACUACCCAUAACACAAGCUAAGCUUACUUUGAGACUAGUUAGUGAUGUGUGUAAUGUGUUAAUAUAAAUAUUAACCAACUUUCUGCAGUUUGAGAAUACGCGGAUAAAAUAUAGCCUAUGAUACUCAGAAAUAACGUGGCUUUCUAGUGGUAAAAGAAUUUUCAAAAUUGGUUCAGUAGAUCCAGAGUUUACCUGCUAGAACACCACCAACUUUACCUCUUUAUAAUACAUACUAGCGGACGCCCGCGACUUCGUCCGCGUAAAAAUCGAUGUCAACUUUCAACCCCUAUUUCACAUUCUAUUUUGCAAGUUUUAUAACUUAUACCUUGUAACUAAAAAAAUUAAGGACUUUCCGUACAAACUUUCUACCCCUACUUCACCCAAUUCUGAUUUUGUUUUCACGACAAAAAGUAUCCUAUUAUCCUUCUACGUAUUAUGGUCUCAAAUCGUCUUAAGUAUCGUUUGAAUUCAUUCUGUAGUAUCAGCGUGAUGCCCGGUCAAAAAAAAGGCAAACAGACAGACAAAAAAAUAGAAAAUAUGAGCGUGGUGCGAUGACAAAGGAAAAUAGAGACUUCUAUGCUAAAAUUAUAAUCUUUGGAUCUACUGGACCGAUUUGAAAGAUUGUUUUAUCAAUAGAAAGUUACGUUAUUUGCGAGUGUCAUAGGCUAUGUUUGAUUCCCAUAUUCACACAGAAACGGGAACCACGUAAUGGAAAGCGCGGGGCGUCAUGUAGCGGACUUUCUGCGUCUUUGAGAAAUUUUGUAUUAUCUCCAAAACUAAUUAACAUAGUAUAAAGGGCAAAUCUUAUCUCCAUAAUAUCCUUGUGAUUAUUAAAUAAUUUAUUUUGAUAAGGAUUUAAGUUAAGUAGCAUAAAUAAUGACGCAAACCUAAGUAUAUAAAAUUUAUAAUUUUCAAAACACAAAAGGUACUAUAUCUGCUAAUAUAUAGAAGAUAGAUAUACGGUGUCGCGGACUUUUUUGUAGAACUUUUAAAGAUACAUAAAGCCUCCAUACAUUAAUUUCAAUUUUACACAAUGGUUUAGGCAGCGCAUGCGAAUAAGUCUGCUUAAGAGGAUUUUCGGUCCGACCUGUAUGACAAAAACUGUGUUAACUCGGCGAAUAUAUAUCAUGCUAAUAUAAAAUAUAGCCUAUAGCACUCCCCGAUAAUGUAGCAUUCUACUGGUGAAAGAAUUUUUGAAAUCGGACCAGUAGUUCCGAAAAUUACCCCAUUUAAAAAAUGUGACAAACUUACAAACUUUACCUCUUUAUAAUAUUAGUAUAGAUUAACAACCCAUUUUCGGCUCAUUGUUGAGCACGAGUCACUUCUCAGGACGAGAGGGGUUAGGCCUUAGUCCUCCAUGCUGGCCCAAUGCGGAUUGGCAGACUUCACACACCUAGACAAUUAAGAAAAUUCUCAGUUAUGCAGGUUUCUUCACAAUGUUAUGCUUCACCAUUUAAGACAUUUAAUUUAAAAAUGGGUUGAAUACAUAUCAGUAUAGAUUUUUAUUGUGAGUUUCUUGAAAGAAGGAAAUGCUCAAUAUUUCAUAGACCAACCCAGGACUCAAACUCAGAAUUUCAUGAUAGUUACACUGAACCAAUAAAUCAGUUAGAGAGAGAGAGAGAGAGAGAGAUAAAUAAAAAGAGUUUAUUAUGUAUUAAAAUUAAAAUAUAUACCUAAUGCUUUCAGCAAUCCUGCUUCUUCACAUGAAUUUUACCCGCAUGAUGACGGUUUUUAAUAUAAAAAAUAUUUACACAAUGUCUCAAAAAGCAAUCAAAGCUUUCAAAAAUGAACAAUGUUCGCAGAAGUUCAGUACCAACAAACUCACAAAAAAUGAGCCCAAAAUUUAGCAUUACUUGCAAGCCAGACUAAGAAAUUUCAAGAAGAUAAUUUAAAAGAAGACAAUAGAAUAAAAUAAUAUUAACACACAAUGCUUAGCAAAUAUAGCAUUAACAGAUGGAAACCAGGCAAUAGGUGUAGCAAAAUAGAAGAUGAAGGUCUAGCUGUGCCAGUCAGUGCUGAGCCACACAGUUGCUGCUGGCAUGUUUGCAAAAUAGCACAAGGUGUAGCAAAAUAGAAGAUGAAGGUCUAGCUGUGCCAGUCAGUGCUGAGCCACACAGUUGCUGCUGGCAUGUUUGCAAAAUAGCACAAGGUAACCUGCUUCAUCGUUAUUAUCAACCUAUUUUAACGGCAUUACAGGGCCAGGCCUUAUAGAAAAGUGAUUAUGGAGCUGAGACCCACCACACUGCUCCAUUGCUGUUGGAGGGCUUAGGGUGAUAAUGUUCAAUUAAUUAAUAACCACUAUCUGAUGCUAAUGAUAAUAAUCGGGAUUAAAGGCUUCCCAACUCCAAGAUGAGAAUUUAACUGAAUUUUUUUUCACAUUUUUAACCUACUUUAAAAAAAGAAGGAGGUUCUCAAUUCGAGUCUAUGUUUUUUUUUUCAUAAUCUAUUCUUCACAUUUUUCACUUAAUAAAAUUCUUUUAGUUUUUAUUUGUUUUUUAACUGGUGAAAAUACAUAAAAUUUAUUCUUUAUGUUUAAAUUUUCAGGUGUAGCAAAAUAGAAGAUGAAGGUCUAGCUGUGCCAGUCAGUGCUGAGCCACACAGUUGCUGCUGGCAUGUUUGCAAAAUAGCACAAGGUGUAGCAAAAUAGAAGAUGAAGGUCUAGCUGUGCCAGUCAGUGCUGAGCCACACAGUUGCUGCUGGCAUGUUUGCAAUAUAGCACAAGGUGCUGUAAAAUGAAGAUAUAUUGUUAAAUAUCAUGAGAUAGAAAUAAAAGAUGAAGGUCUAGCUGUACCCGUCCCGAGCCACACUACUGCAGCCACGUUGCUGCUGGCAUUUUUGCAAAAUAGCACAAGGUCACAACAAUUGAUGUAACAAAUAUAAUCAAUGGACCAGGCACCUGCACCAUGAUUCUUUGGAAUACUAAAAUUCGUCUCUUUAUAUCUGUACUUCUCAUAAUGAAAAAUGUCACGUUUUUAUGAAAGAAAUAAUGGAAUCAAAUAAUAAAUAAAACAAGCAUAUGCUGGAAGUCCUCAGAAACAGCUCCGACUUUGAUGAUUUUUUUUAAAGUCAUGUUUUUUAUGUUAUUAAAAAUCAGAAAUGUUUUGGUGGACGAAAUUAUUUAAAUUGUUAAAAAAUAUCUAUGCUAUUUAUACAUAUUUUUUUUUUAAAUACAACCGACUUCAAAAAUACAAACUUAUGCAGAAAACUAACAAACGAAAGAAAAUAUUAUAAUAUUUUCUAUCUAUUGAUCACUUUGAAGGCGGUGCCAAUGUUCCAAUUAAUGGGCCGAGAAUUAGUUAUCUAUUGUUUACUAGCUAUAGGGCUCGAAUUGCUUUUUCAUAUCUUUAAAAGACUAUCUUCGGAAUGAACCCUUUAUAAUAAAAAAGUAUUAUCAAAAUCGGACCACUCAAUAAAAAGUUAUACUUGGUUGUAUACUAAAAUUAAUGGUUAAACAAUCAAUCAUCCCCUGUUUUCGUAAUGUAAAACCAAGAAUAACUGUUAACAUGAGUAGUCCGAUUUUGAUAAUUCUUUUGAUUGAUCAUUCUUGAUUGUUUUAGUUUAAAACCAAGCAUGUCUUCGAAUUCCGAUUUGAAUAACUUUGUUUUAAAUAGAAAGGGUAUAUUCCGACAAUGGUCCCAAAUCAUUAUAAAUUUAAAAAAAACGAAGAUGACUGGUUAUUUUCCCAUUAAUUGUAUUGUAAAACUAUGCGUAACUUAUUACGAAGUGGUCCGAUUUCGUAAAUUCUUUAUAGACUGUAAAGCUCCCAUAUAAAUUUUAAAAAACAAUUCCAAUCCUAAAUGUGCGAUUGAUUGUUUUCUCAUUCAUUUUAAUGUAAAACCAAGCAUAACUUUUUAUUGGGUGGUUCGAUUUUGAUUAUUCUUUUUUUGAUAGAAAGGGUAUAUUCCUAAAAGUCUCAUAAAAUGUUGGAAAACAAUUUCAAACCUAAUAGUAGGAAAAUAGAAGAUGAUUAAUUGUUUUCCCAUUUAUUGUAAUGUUAAACUAUGCGUAACUUUUUACUGAGUGGACCGAUUUUGAAAAUUCUUUACUUUUUGUAAAGGGUUUAUUUCGAAGUAGGUCCCAUAUAAAUUUCGGAAAACAAUUCGAAUCCUUAAGGUGGAAAAAAACUGUACGAUUGAUUGCCUACCCAUUAAUUGUACAAUUGGCACCGGCUUCAAAGUAAUCAGUAGAUAGAAAAUAUUAUAAUGUUUUCUUCAGCUUAUUAGUUUACUGCAUAACUUUGUGUUUUUGAAGUCGGUAGUGUUUGUUUUUUAAUUAUUUAUUAUAUAAAUAGCAUAACUAUUGUUGAAUAGUAUAAAUCGUUCCAUCCUCACUCCAAAAGGUUUCUGAUGUCAAAUAAUAUGAAGAAACAAACUGAACAAAAAUAAUCAUCAAAAUCAGAGCUGUUUCUGAGGAAGUAGAGGGUAAAUGCUCUAUUGAUUCGCCUAAAAGUAAUAUUAUGAUUUUUUAUCGCAUUAGGUUGUAAAGUUCGGCUAGUGAAAGUAGAGACUGAAAUUGCCCGCCAAAUUUAAAAAUCAUAUAAACAAAGUAAAAAAACAUGCGUUUUCAUAAUUUACUUAAAUUAGUUUUUAUUUGUGAAUACAUUAUUACCUAUACUAUAAGUGUUAAACUCAGUUAUUCCAAUAUUUGCACUAUAAUUUUGAGAAUUUACUCCGGGCUAAUUUGGCGGGUGAUUUCAGUUUCUACUUUCAUUAGCCAAAUUCUAAUAAUUUUAUUGUUUAUGAAAUUUAUACUAAUUAGAAAGAGGAAUAAUUUGAUUAUUUGUUUGUUUGCAUUGAAUAGGCUCUGAAACUACUUUGCUGAUUUAAAAAUUUCUUACAGCAUUAUAAUCAUGGAUUAGGCCAUAAUUGUUAUCUCUGUAUUCCCACGGGAACGAGAACUACGCUGGUGAAACUGCGUGACGUUUGCAUAGUUUAUCAUAUGUACAAAUAUCCCGACAAUCUAUAUUUUUAUGUAUGAAUUGGUUAAGUCAUAAUUGACUUGAUUUUCCCAAAUAUAUCAGUGAAGUCACCCAAUUGAUGCAUAGAUAUAUUUUUAUUUUGGUUUUCAUUUUACUUUAAAGAUAAAAUUUAGUUUUAGAAGCAAAAUGAAUAUAUGUAGAUUACAUUUUAGGUGCUGAUGUUUACUUAGUUAUUGAUUAAGUGCAUAAGAUUUUUUAUUUGAUAAUAAAGACAUUUCAACUUGAAACUGUUAUUCUUUCUAUUGUUUAAUUUAUUAUAUACAAUUACUUGUUACUAAAAUAUUGUGCUAUUAUAUUGUUUUUAAUAUUUUCACAGUUCAGCUUUUGGGGACGGAGUGGUUUUAAAAUAAAUAUUUUUAAAAAUCUGUUUAAAUUAAUUAAUUAAUCGACAGAGUUUAUAAAUAUCUGUUUAAAUUAAUUAAUUAAUCGAAAUGGUUUUUAAAAAUAUUUAUUUUAAAGCUAUUCCGUCUACAAAAGCUGAACUGUGAAAAUUUAAAAACAAUAUAUUAGCUUUGAAUUUCCCGCGUUGGCAAAUUGUUUCAAUGGGGGCAUUCCACAGAUGGCGGUAAUUUUAGUGCCGCUUUUUUUGUAUGAGGUUGGUAUUCUUCUCCUGAGUAAAUA